CAACAUAUAUUUUGUCUACGCUGUCCGGUUACUAUAAAUAUAUGUGUACGUAUGUAUGUAUGUAUGUAUGUAUGUAUGUUUGUUACCCUGUACAUUGACCAUUCGUGCGUUAUAUUAUGGAGACUCUAAACUUGAAAUUUAAAAGAAUGUGGAUGUUUUUAUUUGUUAUUUAUCUACCUGGUUUAUUAGCAAGAACACGCCCCCCUGGUAUAAAUAUACAACCAGACUAUUAUGUUUAUUAUAAAGUUGGUGAAAAAGUAGAGAUGCCAUGUGUAGCUGAUGGAGAACCUCAACCAAAGUAUACAUGGACAAGAAAUGGAAUAGAUUUUAACCCAAGCCCUAAUGAUGAUCGUAUGGUGCUGUUACCCAAUGUAGGUACAAUAGUAAUCAACAGACCAGAAGAUAAAGAUGAAGCCUUAGAUAUACACCUUUUUCCGAACACAUUGUGAACGCUAUAUCGACAAUAGUUUUUAAACACAUUGUUUCCAAAUUUGGCGUAAAGCAUUGUGGUCAUGAGAGGACGAGCAGGGGCGGAUCUAUGAAUUUUGAAAAGGGGGGUCGCCGCAAAAUGAGGGCACUGACCGCGGAGACGGGGCACGCCGCUGAGAAAUCGUUGAAAAAGAGCCUUAAAAUGGAGCAAAAAAGCCAGUUGAACACGCGACUCGAAAAUUGUCAAGGCGAGCGAGGCAUUAUGAUGGGAAAAAAGACGAAUCUAUUCCUUAGCCACUUCACUAUUUAAGCCUUGUAACUUGUACUUUGUACUGUUCACACAUGAAACAAUGCUACAUCAAGUUGCAGGGGCGUGCUGGCAGGGAGUUUAGGAGGACGGUGUCCCCCCAGGCCCCCAUUAAACAAUAAGUCCACCCGUAUAAGCGGGCCCCCCUGAGAGCUCUAAUUUUCACGCGGAAUCCCCUCAAAAAAUUGAGAGUGCGCACGCGAAAAAUCAUACAUACACAACGAUUAGUAAUAUAUAUUACUAGCAGGAUACCCGGCUUCGCUCGGGGGUCAUAACUCCGAAACCGGAAGUGGUAGACUAACGCCACCUGGCCUAUGUUAGUCCCCGGUCCGAGCUACCCCUAUACCCCAAAUUUCAGACUCGGGGCAGAUGUAGCCGCCAACCCCGAACAGACUUCGCUCGGGGGUCAUAACUCCGAAACCGGAAGUGGUAGA